rnacentral:rRNA from 1 species
AGAGUGAACGCUGGCGGUAGGCCUAACACGUGCAAGUCGAACGGCAGCACAGUAGGAGCUUGCUCUUACGGGUGGCGAGUGGCGGACGGGUGAGGAAUACAUCGGAAUCUACCUUUUGGUGGGGGAUAACGUAGGGAAACUUACGCUAAUACCGCAUACGCCCUUCGGGGGGAAAGCCGGGGACCAGCAAUGGCCUGGCGCUGAUAGAUGAGCCGAUGUCGGAUUAGCUAGUUGGUGAGGUAAUGGCUCACCAAGGCGACGAUCCGUAGCCUGGUCUGAGAGGAUGAUCAGCCACACUGGAACUGAGACACGGUCCAGACCUCCUACGGGAGCAGCAGGUGGGAAUAGUUGGACUAAGUGGGCACGAAGCCUGAUCCAGCCAUACCGCGUGAGUGAAGAGGUCCGUUGGUUAGUAACGUCCGUUUU